rnacentral:lncRNA from 1 species
AUUCCCCUCUCGGGCUAAAGUCAACUCAAGUUGGUUUCUGUUACUUGCAGCUGAAGAGCCCAACUACCAGUCCGACGAAAAUCACUUCUCGGAUAGGAGAACAAUCAAAGCGCCCACUUCAAACAUGCCAUGAUGCUUCUGAAUUGAGGGAGGAGAAUAUCGCAAAAGUAUCAGGACACUAGUCUCUCAGAGGCCUGAUGGUAUUUCCUGCACCAGGAAGACGUCCCCAGAGAAAGAGCCCCAUUGUUCAGAGCCAGCAGGGAACUGGGAGUAAUUUUAAGAAGCGUGACUCGGGGAAAUGUCUCCUUCCUGUCCUGCCUAGAACUACUUCUGUUGUCCCAAGUUUGUGUAUUUUGAUCUUCUCAAAUGUCCCACGUAGUUACACAUCCUCCCUGGGUGCCUGUUCAAAUGAUCACUUCUUUUUCUCAAAGGUCCUUCA